NNNNNNNNNNNNNNNNNNUGACGUGGGUGCUAGCCUCUAAGAUUUAGCCAUGCAUGCUGCGUGAACUUUUAGGGAACGGCGAACGGCUCAGUAAUGUUGCGAUUAUCUGCUCUGGUUGUUUAAGAUAACCACGGAAACCUGUGGCUAAGAGACCAGAAUGAGACGCAAGCCUAUCAGUUUGUUGGUAGUGUAAUGGACUACCAAGACGAUGACGGGUGACGGGAAAUCAGUGUUUGAUUCCGGAGAGGGAGCCUGAGAGAUGGCUCCCACGUCCAAGGAUGGCAGCAGGCGCGAAAAUUGUCCACUCUUUGUUGAGGAGACAGUUAUGAGGCGUGAUUGUAAGAGCGGAGUGUAAAAUACUCUGUGUAAUGCAACUAGAGGGCAAGUUUUGGUGCCAGCAGCCGCGGUAACACCAACUCUAGAAAUGCCUAUUGUGGAUGCUGCAGUUAAAACGUCCGUAGUCUAUGAUACAAUUAAAGGGUGCAGAUCAAAGGCACUAAGUUUGUUAGUUGUAGCGGAGCGGACAGGGAGCAUGGUAUAGGGCGGCGAAGAAUGAAAUCUCAAGACCCGCCCUGGACCAACAGAGGCGAAAGCAGUGCUCUUGUACGCAUCUGAGGAUCAAGGACGAAGGCUUAGAGGAUCGAAAGUGAUUAGACACCGCUGUAGUUCUAGCAGUAAACGAUGCCGACACUCUGUGCCUGUGAUGGGCGUGGAGAUGAGAAAUCAUAGUUUUCGGGCUCUGGGGAUAGUACGCUUGCAAGAGUGAAACUUAAAGCGAAAUUGACGGAAGAACACUACAAGGAGUGGAUCGUACUGCUUAAUUUGACUCAACACGGGAAAACUUACCAGGGCCAAGCCGUGCGUAGAUUGGAUGCAUGAGUACGGCAGGAGUGGUGCAUGGCCGUUGGAAAUUGAUGGGACGACCUUUAGCUUAAAUGCUAUAAUCAGUGAGAUCUUCUAGACAGGUGCUGUUGCAGUACAGGAGGGAGAAGGCUAUAACAGGUCCGUGAUGCCCUCAGACGCCCUGGGCCGCAAGUGCAAUACAAUAUGCGUUGAGACGAUAUAAAUGUGGUUACGGAUGAGUAGGAUUAGCUUGUGUAAGAGAGCUAUGAAUAAGGAAUUCCUAGUAAGUGUGUCUCAACAAGGCACAGUGAAUGCGUCCCUGUUCUUUGUACACACCGCCCGUCACUAUUGCGGAUGGCAAUCAAGAUGAAGAGCUUCGGUUCUGAAUAUUCAUGUCUAGACAUAAUACAAGUCGUAACAAGGUAGCAGUUGGAGAACCAGCCGCUGGAUCAUUC
rnacentral:rRNA from 17 species